CGGGGGGGAGCGAGCGUUGUCCGGAAUUACUGGGCGUAAAGGGCGUGUAGGCGGUUUAAUAAGUCAGAUGUAAAAGCCCCCCCGGGCUCAACCGGGGGAUGGGUCAUUUGAAACUGUUAGGCUUGAGUGCGAGAGAGGGUAGUGGAAUUCCCAGUGUAGCGGUGAAAUGCGUAGAUAUUGGGAAGAACACCAGUAGCGAAGGCGGCUACCUGGCUCGCAACUGACGCUAAGGCGCGAAAGCGUGGGGAGCAAACAGGAUUAGAUACCCUGGUAGUCCACGCUGUAAACGAUGAGCACUAGGUGUUGGUUUGCCGCAGGCUAAUCAGUGCCGCAGUUAACGCAAUAAGUGCUCCGCCUGGGGAGUACGAUCGCAAGGUUG
rnacentral:rRNA from 1 species